rnacentral:rRNA from 1 species
AGUGAACGCUGGCGGCAGGCCUAACACAUGCAAGUCGAACGGCCGCACAAUAAGAUUUUUCUUUUACGGUUGGCGGCUGGCGGGCGGGUGAGGCGUACAUCAGCAUCUACUUUUUCGUGGGGAAUUACGUGAGGACAGUUACGCUAAUACCUCAUACGAUCUACGGGUGGAAUCAGUGGAUCUUCGCACUUUUCGCGUUUCUUUUAGCCGAUGUCGGAUUAGCUAGUUGGUGGGGUAAAGGCCCACCAAGGCAACGAUCCGUAGCUGGCCUGAGAGGAUGAUCAGCCACACUGGAACUGAGACACGGUCCAGACUCCUACGGGAGGCAGCAGUGGGGAAUCUUCGGCAAUGGGCGAAAGCCUGACGCAGCCAUACCGCGUGAGUGAAGAAGGUCUUCGGAUCGUAAAGCUCUUUUGUUGGGGAAGAACAAAUGUAUAAGAAACUAUGGCUGUCUUGACGGUACCUAAUCAAAAAGCAACGGCUAACUACGUG